AUGCAGAUCUUUGUGAAGACCCUCACGGGCAAGACCAUCACCCUUGAGGUCGAGCCCAGUGACACCAUUGAGAAUGUCAGUGCGAAAAUUCAAGACAAGGAGGGUAUCCCCCCUGACAAGCAGCGUCUGAUAUUUGCCAGCAAACAGCUGGAGGAUGGCCGCACUCUCUCAGACUACAACGUCCAGAAACAGCACCUGGUGCUGCACCUGCGAGGUGGCAUUAUUGAGCCUUCGACUAUUUGCCACGACAUUUCAAAGGAUUCCAAGAGAGAAUAUUGGUGUCCAUGCUGUGAUGAUUCCUCAGCUCCUCUCAUCUGAUCUCCGUCCUGGCCCCCAUGACUUUCUUUGUGGUAGUUAGGGUGUGGUAUGUGCCACUGAGGCCCACACCUAUUGCUGAGAUGCAUGACAGAUAACACUUCUCAAGAAGAAGGAAUUUAGCUUCUGUCAUUUGAUCUAGGUUUUCAAUUACAGAAGCAUUGAGAAUUUCCUGUGGCUGGAUAAGGGCGAAUCUUUAAGGCAAGUUGAAGACCCAGGCUGCCCAUGUGGACAUCAAUACUCCCACAGAGCACUCUUCAUGAAGAAAAGUGUGGGCUUGCUGUCUUUUCAUCAAAACUCGUAGAAUUUGGCUGACUGCCUGGUUUAUCCCAGGACAUUAGUCAGCCCACAAAUCCCGCAUUUGUUUAUUCAGUCCAGAGCAAGUGAAUACUGCCAUUUUCUCAUCUCCUUUGUUGGCAACACUUUGUUAACCUGAAUUGGGUUCUCAACAUAAAAUGAAGUGACUAAUCUUUUGGGGGGUUCCCCCUCCCAGGUUCUUGUAUGAGCAACCAGUAGAGACGGGGUUUCACCAUGUUGGCCAGACUGGUCUUGAACUCUCGACCUCGUGAUUCGCCCGCCUCGGCCUCCCAAAGUGCUGGGAUUACAGGUGUGAGACACCACACCCGGCGGAUAGAGAGAAUUUUGACAGGUGAGGAGGUAUUCCAAUGCAAAAGAAUAAUAGGAGCAAAAGCACAGUGGUGAGAAAUUGGAGGGGAACUGUGAAAAUUGCCACAUAGAUUAGAGGCAGGAAAAUAAAGGACGGCUAAGUUUAUAUAGUGAACAGUGAGCCGCAUGGACACAGGUGACUGUUUUCUCCUUUUUGAACCCCUGCUUACUCCAGAGUCACCACCUCUCCUGGCUUUCUGCCAAUCUUCUUGGCCACAGUUUCUCGGUCUUCUUUUCUGGCUUCUCUUCCUUGGCCUGAAUGCUACAUGUUAAGUGAUGUCAGCUUCAGUUUUCUUAACCUCUCUUCUCUUAAGUUGCUAUCAUUUAAAUAUCUUUAAAUAUCAUCUACAUCCAAGUGACCUCUAAACCAGUAAUUUUACCCAUGACCCAUCUCCUCAACUAGUCUGUUUCCCUACCCAGGUGGAGAACUUCAGUAGAGGAAGUGGCAGGAAUUUGGGAAUGAGGAGCACAGUGAUUAAACUGGGGCCAUUCAUAUGAGAGUUUAAGAACUCAGACCAGUGACUUAGAUUGGCUUCUCUCACAUGGCAAGAAACAUUGCUGCUAGCACUUCCCGAGUUCUACGUUCUACAACAUCCACCACUGGAUCUUAACAUAGACGUAAGAUCAAAUGCAAUAGCAUGUCAAACAAUGUGUAACUCCAGUUAUACAAACAUUACUGUAUCUCAUUGGGGAUACGAAGCUCUACACACUUGAAGAUGGUGAAGGAAUAUAAAAAUCUAUGUCUCACAGUCCAGACUUGGAGUACAAGUAAUAAGAAGAAUAAAACUUAAUCCCUUAAGUAGAUUCACCAUAAGUUAGCUCAGAGCAAUUCCAGUGCAAGUAUGGUCUGUGAUCCAGUAGGUGAGGCCCAAGUGCAAUAAUAUAUAGUACACUGUGUCUGGCAUCUAGUAAGCAUUCAUUAAGAUGACAUGAAGAUAACACAGAUAUAUCUUAACAUGUAAUUAUGAUUUUGCUUAUUCAAGGCCAAGCAUUCCAAUUUAAUGGAGUUAGGCAAACACAGUAAAUUCAUUGCUCUUUCCUUUUUAUGCUACUUCCUUUGAAGAGGCAGUCAAGUUCCAUUUGACUGAUUCGGAACUUUUUAGCAAUGUAUAUUAUGCUGACUUCACUCUUAUGCGCUCUUGGGGCUAUAAUUCAUCAAGUUAGGCGAGCAAAGAAGUGUGUUGGUGAAAGAGAAAUGAGGAAGAACAAGGAAGAAAAAAAGGGUCAUGAGCUUAUUCACUGCCAAUAUUUAUUAUAUGGAACAAUGACCAUCCUUCAGAAGUGUUUGUUCUCUAUUAUACUGUAGGUGUGGAAGAAUUAUCAUUGCUCAAUAGCUGUCUCAGUCACUACCUGAUAGACUUGGGAGGUCUGGCUAUUUCAGGGCGCAUUUGACAUACAGUGACAUUUUUGGAUUAAAGCUUUCAUGAUGAGUGCCAGUCUGGGUCCAAAAGGGUUGAAAGCUGAGUAUCUUACAGACAGCAAGUUGAACAUUGUGGGAUGCAUGAGCUAUUGAGGCCUUUGCAGCUUUCUGCUACAUGGAGGCUAGGGCCAGAGUCAAGAUUUAUGCUUUGCAGCACACUGGUCAGCUGUUUUUGCAAAUCAGAUUAAAUGAUUUUUAAAUGAGGCUGAGAGCAUGGGAGAUACUAAUGUGUGUUUCCUUGUGAGCUACUGCAUAAGUUAGGAAAUUGAAAUACAGAAAGAUGAAAAGUGAUUUGCCCAAGCAUAUAGAUCAAAGCUGUGGCAGAACCAGGACUGGAACCUAUAUCUCUCUACUAAUGGUUUUUUUAAAAAAAUAACCUUGUUUCAAAAAUAUUAAAAAGUCACAAGAAAGGUAAACAUGUGGAUAAACAAAAUGAAGAAAAUAAAAAUUAUCCAGUAAUAACAUAUUGGCAUAUGUCUUUCUGGUAUAUUUUCCUGUGUUGUCAUCAUUAUCAUCUCCAUCAUCAUUAUAUCCAUCAUUAUCAUCAUCAUCAUCAUCAUCAUCAUAUACUACUGAUUUUUGUAUAUUGAUAUCGUAUUCUGCAACUUUACAGAAUUUGUUAUUAGCUCUGAGUUUUUUGGUAGAGUCAUUAGAUUUUUCUGUAUAUAAAAUCAUGUCAUCUGCAAACAGGAACAAUUUGACUUCCUCCUUUCCAAUUUGGAUGUCCUUUAUUUCUUUGUCUUGCCUAGUUGCUUGGGCUAGGACUUCCAUUACUGUGUUGAAUAAGAAUGUUAAGAGUGGGCAUCCUUGUCUUGUUUCAGUUCUUAGAGGAAAUGCUAGUGUAGCUGAGGAGAGAAAUGAAAACAGAAUAAAAACUUCAGUAGAAGUUGGGGAGAAAUGUGUUUGCACCAAAAGAGGUGAGGGAUGGAACUGAGGGAGGUCUCGAGGGGUAAGAGAGGCCAAAGAGCUGGCAGGUGCUGCUAUUAGGAUGGCCAAUGAUCCAGAAGUAAUGAUGAAUGAGAAGAUGGAUUAAAAAAACCCUGACAUUGUUUAACUAGAAGAAGAAGACAGUCAGAGAGAAGUGAGGGCUUACUUUUCAUGUUUAAAGUCUGUUAUGUGGUAAAGGGAUUAGAUUUAUCUGUGUUGUUCCAGGGGACAGAAAUAGGACAAAUGGAUGCAAAUAGAGUGAGGAAGAUUUAAAACAAAUGGAGAAGACAUUCUAAAAUCAACUACAAUGAGCGUAAACAAUGACAACGGAAAGGACUAUUUUUGCAAUUAUGUAGCUCUUGUUCUCUAUAGAUAGAUGUGUAAGCAGACGCUGAAUAACCAUUUACUGAAAAUAUAAAUAAAAACAAAGCAAAUUGCAGGCAAUAAAUAUUGUAUUAGUUCUCAUUUUGUAAAACUUAUACAGGUAUCAUAUGCAUAGACAAGAGCUGGACCCCGCAGCUGAAGCGGAAAUGUGAGACAGGCUGGCACCUCCGGAAAAACUGCCUUUCAGCCUUGGUGUUCCGUGCAAGGUGAAAAAAAAUAGGUCCUCCAAGUUUACAGCUUGAAAUCAGGCUACUGUGUGGCCCUGGAGACCACGAGGGGAGAAUUUAAAGUGGCCCCGGCUGGCAGGGUCUAGGUGGCUGGCAGAGGCACAUGCAGACCCUACCUGGAGCCCGCCCUAGGGACGCUGGGCAGGUCAGUCUCCGUGCAGGAUGUGAGCAGCGUCCCUGGGCUCUAUCCGCGAGGUGCCAGUAGCGUGUGCAGGUACAUACACAUGCGUGCACACUGUUAUGACACCCAGAAAUGUCUCAGGACGUCGAAAUGUGUCCUUGGGAGCAGAAGUGUCCCCGGUUGAGAAUCUGUCCCAGAGGAACACGACCACGACAGGCCUCAGGAUUUUGUGUUGAUCAAGUUCCAAGGAAAAGGAACAUCUCGGCCAGGCGUGGUGGCUCACGCCUGGAAUCCCAGCACUUGAGGCCAGGAGUUCGAGACCAGCCUGGGCAACGCAGUGAGAGACCCCCAUCUCUACAAAAAAAAAAAAUUUGAAAUUGCUAAGUAGCUGGCCCCACGGGUUAUUCACUCACAGUGCUCUUCAGGUGACUGGUCAGUGUUGGUGAGGAUAAUGUUUCCAUUGCUCCUUCAGUCUCUUUGGCCUGCUUUCCUGAAGGAGAGUAAUACAAAUCCUAAUUAAAAUGAAAAUGAGAAGUUACUAAAAUGCCCUUUCCUUUACAGAACUCUAUUUCAUUUACAGAGGUCGGAUGUUCGUGUUUAACUACCAAAUCCCUCUAUCUCACUUAGAGCUCAGGAGUCAAAUAAUCUAGACAAAUAAGUCAAUGUAGUUCCUAAAAGUGCCGAAGUACUUUUCUGCC
rnacentral:lncRNA from 1 species